AACGAACGCUGGCGGCAGGCUUAACACAUACAAGUCGAACGCCCCGCAAGGGGAGUGGCGGACUGGUGAGUAACGCGUGGGAACGUACCCUUUACUACGGAAUAACUCAGGGAAACUUGUGCUAAUACCGUAUGUGCCCUUCGGGGGAAAGAUUUAUCGGUAAAGGAUCGGCCCGCGUUGGAUUAGCUAGUUGGUGGGGUAAAGGCCUACCAAGGCGACGAUCCAUAGCUGGUCUGAGAGGAUGAUCAGCCACAUUGGGACUGAGACACGGCCCAAACUCCUACGGGAGGCAGCAGUGGGGAAUAUUGGACAAUGGGCGCAAGCCUGAUCCAGCCAUGCCGCGUGAGUGAUGAAGGCCCUAGGGUUGUAAAGCUCUUUCACCGGUGAAGAUAAUGACGGUAACCGGAGAGGAAGCCCCGGCUAACUUCGUGCCAGCAGCCGCAGUAAUAC
rnacentral:rRNA from 1 species